rnacentral:rRNA from 1 species
UCGAGAAUCAUUCGCAAUGAGCGAAAGCUUGACGAUGCGACGCCGUGUGAGCGAUGAAGGCCUUCGGGUUGUAAAGCUCUUUCGCUUGGGAACAAGGAGACUCUACGAAUAAUGGGGAAUCUUGAGCGUACCAGGUAAAGAAGCACCGGCUAACUCCGUGCCAGCAGCUGCGGUAAUACGGAGGGUGCAAGCAUUAAUCGGAUUUAUUGGGCGUAAAGGGCGCGUAGGCGGAUAGGGAAGUCAGAUGUGAAAUUCCGAGGCUCAACCUCGGAGCUGCAUUUGAGACUCCCUGUCUAAGAGGAUAGACGGAGAAAAUGGAAUUCCACGUGUAGCGGUGAAAUGCGUAGAUAUGUGGAAGAACACCUGUGGCGAAAGCGGUUUUCUAGUUUAUACCUGACGCUGAGGCGCGAAAGCAAGGGGAGCAAACAGG